rnacentral:rRNA from 1 species
AUUGAACGCUGGCGGCAGGCCUAACACAUGCAAGUCGAGCGGAUGACGGGAGCUUGCUCCUGGAUUCAGCGGCGGACGGGUGAGUAAUGCCUAGGAAUCUGCCUGGUAGUGGGGGACAACGUUUCGAAAGGAACGCUAAUACCGCAUACGUCCUACGGGAGAAAGCAGGGGACCUACGGGCCUUGCGCUAUCAGAUGAGCCUAGGUCGGAUUAGCUAGUUGGUGAGGUAAUGGCUCACCAAGGCGACGAUCCGUAACUGGUCUGAGAGGAUGAGCAGUCACACCGGAACUGAGACACGGUCCAGACUCCUACGGGAGGCAGCAGUGGGGAAUAUUGGACAAUGGGCGAAAGCCUGAUCCAGCCAUGCCGCGUGUGUGAAGAAGGUCUUCGGAUUGUAAAGCACUUUAAGUUGGGAGGAAGGGCAGUAAGCGAAUACCUUGCUGUUUUGACGUUACCGACAGAAUAAGCACCGGCUAACUCUGUGCCAGCCGCCGCUGUAAAAC